AGUGGCGGACGGGUGAGUAACGCGUGAGAAUCUGCCUUGGGGUCGGGGACAACCACUGGAAACGGUGGCUAAUACCGGAUAAGCCGAUUGGUGAAAGAUUUAUUGCCCGAAGAGGAGCUCGCGUCUGAUUAGCUAGUUGGUGAGGUAAGAGCUCACCAAGGCAGCGAUCAUUAGCUGGUCUGAGAGGACGAUCAGCCACACUGGGACUGAGACACGGCCCAGACUCCUACGGGAGGCAGCAGUGGGGAAUUUUCCGCAAUGGGCGAAAGCCUGACGGAGCAAGACCGCGUGAGGGAGGAAGGCUCUUGGGUUGUAAACCUCUUUUCUCAGGGAAGAAGAUCUGACGGUACCUGAGGAAUCAGCCUCGGCUAACUCCGUGCCAGCAGCCGCGGUAAUACGGAGGAGGCAAGCGUUAUCCGGAAUUAUUGGGCGUAAAGCGUCCGCAGGUGGCGAUUCAAGUCUGCUGUCAAAGCACGGGGCUUAACUCCGUAAAGGCAGUGGAAACUGAAUAGCUAGAGUGCCGUAGGGGUAGAGGGAAUUCCCGGUGUAGCGGUGAAAUGCGUAGAGAUCGGGAAGAACAUCGGUGGCGAAAGCGCUCUACUGGACGGCAACUGACACUCAGGGACGAAAGCUAGGGGAGCGAAUGGGAUUAUAUACCCC
rnacentral:rRNA from 1 species